rnacentral:rRNA from 1 species
AAGGAGUUUAUCGUGUACGCGAGUCAUUGGGUGUUUAAAAACCCAAAGGCGUAAUGAAAGUAAAGAGUAGAUAUUUGUAAAAUCGUUUUUAACAAUUUUCUCUUAAGGGAAGAUGAAAAUAGUACAUACAUUUAUGUAUGUCAAUAUUUUCCGCACUCCCAGGGCGCUUUUAUUUCGCUUUGCGAAUUGAUGCGCACCUAGAGCGUACACGAUGAUACCCGAAAGAUGGUGAACUAUGCCUGGCCAGGACAAAGCCAGGGGAAACCCUGGUGGAGGUCCGCAGCGAUUCUGACGUGCAAAUCGAUCGUCGGAGCUGGGUAUAGGGGCGAAAGACCAAUCGAACCAUCUAGUAGCUGGUUCCCUCUGAAGUUUCCCUCAGGAUAGCUUGCACUCGGUUGAGAAGAGUCUCAUCCGGUAGAGCGAAUGAUUAGAGGCAUUGGGGUCGAAACGACCUCAACCUAUUCUCAAACUCCAAAUAGAUGAGAACCCCGGCUUU